rnacentral:rRNA from 1 species
UACGGGGGGGGCAAGCGUUGUUCGGAAUUACUGGGCGUAAAGGGCUCGUAGGCGGCCAAUUAAGUCAGACGUGAAAUCCCUCGGCUUAACCGGGGAACUGCGUCUGAUACUGGAUGGCUUGAAUCCGGGAGAGGGAUGCGGAAUUCCAGGUGUAGCGGUGAAAUGCGUAGAUAUCUGGAGGAACACCGGUGGCGAAGGCGGCAUCCUGGACCGGCAUUGACGCUGAGGAGCGAAAGCCAGGGGAGCAAACGGG